GGAUCAGUUCACCGGUCGUGCCUCUGGUAUGUACUGGUGUUACUGGUUCCUCCCUUCUGACGAACUGUCAUGUCAUUUAUUUGGUGUGGCAGGGAAUCAGGACUGUUACUUUGAAAAAAUUAGUGUUUAAAGCAGGCGAUCGCUUGAAUACAUUAGCAUGGAAUAAUGAAAUAGGACGUUCGAUCCUAUUUUGUUGGUUUCUAGGAUUGACGUA
rnacentral:rRNA from 1 species